rnacentral:rRNA from 1 species
AAUCAACGCUGGCGGCGUGCCUCAGACAUGCAAGUCGAACGAUUAAACUUGCCUUCGGGCAAGAUAUAAAGUGGCGCACGGGUGAGUAACACGUAAGUAAUCUACCUUCGAGUGGGGAAUAACGUUCGGAAACGAACGCUAAUACCGCAUAAUGCAGCGGCACCUAAUGGUGACAGUUGUUAAAGGAGCAAUCCGCUUGAAGAGGAGCUUGCGGCAGAUUAGCAGUUGGUAAGGUAACGGCUUACCAAGGCUACGAUCUGUAACCGGUCUAAGAGGACGGUCGGUCACACUGACACUGAAUAACGGGUCAGACUCCUACGGGAGGCAGCAGUCGGGAAUUUUGGGCAAUGGGCGAAAGCCUGACCCAGCAACGCCGCGUGAAGGAUGAAGUAUUUCGGUAUGU